rnacentral:rRNA from 1 species
AUUGAACGCUGGCGGUAUGCUUAACACAUGCAAGUCGAACGGUAACAGAGGAAAGCUUGCUUUCUUGCUGACGAGUGGCGGACGGGUGAGUAACGCGUGGGAAUCUACCUAGUAGUGGGGGAUAGCCAGAUGAAAAUCUGAAUAAUACCGCAUACGCCCUACGGGGGAAAGAAGGCCUCUACUUGUAAGCUUUCACUAUUAGAUGAGCCCGCGUUAGAUUAGCUUGUUGGUGAGGUAAAAGCUCACCAAGGCAACGAUCUAUAGUUGGUCUGAGAGGACGACCAGCCACAUUGGGACUGAGACACGGCCCAG